CACCAGGUUUAUCUUCUCUGGAUACACGCAGGACAUGGGGCACACGCAUCUCCUCCCUGCAUGUUGAACCUCGGUGGCUUAUCUUGCAACUUAGUAAUGUGGUGUUAAUGCAAGAUACACAUGUUUCAUUUUUUCUGUGCAUAUUUCCCUCAUGCAGGUAUUUUCACAUAAUUUUCAUUUGCAUAUUUCAUGCAUUAUAAAUGUCUACCUAAUGUGUACUGUCUCCAUAGCACAGUGCAGCUCUUACUUCAUUCUAGUAUCAGGUAUUACCUCCCUUGUUAGUAACCCAGCCAGCUAGGGUUCAAUCCCAGCUUUCUAAUAAAACUUUUGCAGAUUUGUUAUGUUUCAUAUCCCAUAAUACAAUUUUCCUGUCAUGUGACCUUAAAAAGCACAUGUGGUACUGGGACCCCAUGCUUCAGUGUGGUAGCAGCCUCCAUAGCGUCAAGAGGUCUCCUCUGACUGUUAAUAUUAAUGUAGAGCACAGGAACACAAAUUUUUCCAAACCUCAUCCACUCAGUCACUCAUCAACUCAACUAGUUAUCCUUUUACACGACCAAUGACCAACGUUCAACGUGUAUCUUACAUUCAUUUGUACGUGUCACCGUAUAUCAACGCACACCAUUGUUUACCAUCAACGAAUAAAACCCUGUGGAUGCGA